GAUGGCAGCUCCAGAUUCUCCAUGGAUAUCUGGAAGCUGGAGACCUGCCUUCAAGCACAAGUAUCAGGAUUUAUGGGCUCAGGGUCAGAAACACCCUGGAAUCCGGAGCACCAGUGAGUAUUCACUCUACAUGACCUUCAUAGGGGAGGACUGGAGGUAAAACAAUGUGAAAGCAGUUUAAAGUCUGCUUCUUGUUUGAUAAAACAUGAUUAAUAGUUCAUUCUAAUGGUGGAUUUGUGGUGCUAUACUCCCAUCAAUGAUCACUGGUGAUCCAAUCAAAGGGAUUGUUUGUUUGUUUGUGUCAAACGAGGUCUCCCGGACUCAUCCAAGCGCAGCAACAGUCGGGACUGCUCUGUUCCCAUGGUGACAGACAGCUGUGGCGUCUACGGGACCUUUUACGUUGACCUCGCAGGCAGCAGUCUCCAGACCUUCAACAGUCCUGGACGUUCUCCUAAAAUGCCUCACGGUCUGCCUCUCCAACAAGGACAAGAGAGCAUUCAGAUAUUCCCUCAGUCUCUCUCCAGCUCCUCACCUGCCAGCAGUCGCGAGUCUCUGCCGUGGAAGCACGCCGUCCGCCCUCAGCCGAAGAUGGGUGUGCUGAGGGAGUGCUGGGAGAAGAAACCCAGCAAGCAAGGCGAGUCACGGAGGAUGGCGAAACUUGUCUGAUGGGUUCGUCUUGUAUUCGUAGCGGUCAAAUCAGUGAAACACGUGCAAAUGGUUUUAUUUCCUCCUCAGAGUUACAUGCAGUCAACAGUGUUCCUGUGCUACCAUCCAGGAGUCAGGCGUGUGUCUACAAGCAGCGACUCAGCCACACACCGGGGCCCGGUACAGCACCGCAUGUACUCAUCUAGAAUCCAGGAUUUUAGAGACUUUUGUGUUAAACCCAGAACGAAUCCGUUUCCUCCUGUUUUCCACGCAGACUGCUGUAAAGCUGCUGGCGGCUCUCGCCUGCUGCAUUGUUCUGCAUCGCUGCACUUCCUGGACAUGCUGCCCCCUCCACCGGCGGAGGACAAACACAGCCUCUCUUCAGAUGAAGGGUUCAGUCACUCCACUAAGCUGACAGAAGAUGCAGGCUCGGUCCGGUCCGUUUGUCCUGCACCGGGCCUUUACCAACCAGCAGGACCGACCAGCAGCUGCCCCUCCCUCAGCCCCCGGUCAGCUGCAUCCCGCUCCAUGUCGCUGGACAAUGACACAGAUGGGACUCUGACGUCCCAGGAGGCCACUGUGUAUCUAGAACUGAGUCCCAAACCAGAAAGACGGAGUGUUCUCCCAGAGCCGCGCCCUUCCCUGUCUCAGUACCGCUCCUCUGGCCUGGGCAGCUUCUGUGGGCCGGUCUGUUCCUCUCUCCUGGAGGAGAGCUCCGCCGACAAGCUGGAGUUCUUACCCAUCGCUCUGCGUCGCGCCCGCCUUCAGAGCUCCCCGUCGUCCUGCUACAGCGAGUGGGACGGCUCUCUGUGGAACACCUGGAGCUCCGUGACGGACAGCAACCUGGACAGCGCCCGCACCAGCCUCAUCAGCUCAGUGGACAGCUGCUACACCACGGACAGCGCCACCUUCGCCCACAUGCUGGCCAUGGCAGCAGAGAGCAGGAGCGGAGACCUCUCGCCGCCGGGCUCCCCCCUCAGUGCCUUGCAGUGUGGGGACAGCGACUCCUUCGGGGAGCCUGUCCCGGUGUGGGACUGGAGCGUAGCCUGGAUGGAGGAAAUGGAGGCCCAGUACAGAGCCCUGUAUCCUGCCAGAUUCCCCUCUGAGACCUAGAGGCUCUGAUGGAACAGAAACAAAAGCGUCCCGUGAACUUCAAAAGACCUGAGAGGGAGUUCAGCCACGCUGCAACACUUCAGUUCGGAACAGUUUCACUUUUGAGACAUUUGUGUGCUCAUCUGAUCCUGAAGUUUCAAUUCACCUCUGAUCUUAAAAAUGAUUCUGUCUCCUCGUUAGUCUCCCUCUCUAUUUUUUUUUGUUUUUUAUGUAGACAGUGAUCCUCCCCUCCGGACGCAGCUCAGUCAGACACGUGAAACCCAAUCCUCACAUCACGUCUCGGUUUGAUCUCCGUUUGUUAAUUUAUGGACUUUUCUUUUGGACUCGGGUCCCAGCAGGUUUUGUGGUUUUGUAUCAGUCAAAUAUAAUAUAUAUGCAACAAAUUCAAGAAAUGUUAUUUAAUGACUUUUUUUUUUAGAAAAUGUUCCAAAUUCUUGCCUGUCCUCCGUUCUCAUGUGAAGGGUAAUGUUUACAUUUUAUACAUUUUCUGUUAUUACAGGAUUAUUGUACACUAACAUUUUUUAAUAUUCUGAUUAUUCUGUAGUUAGCCCUAUUAGAAUGAAUAUAAAUAUAUAUAUAAUGCUGGAAAUUGUAACCCUUAAAUAUUUACAAUUUGAAUUAUUUAACCCAGAUUUGUUUAGUUUGUGUAUUUCUACUUUUUAUUUUCCUAAUUGUUAAAUUAAAAUUUUCUAAGAUUAAACUUGAUUUUUGAGUGUGGAGUAAGAAUAAACGUGACUGGGUUAAGGUAAUAAUUACAGACAUAAAGACGUGGAUGAUGUUUAAGAAAGUUUAAUUUAACUCUAUUUUUAUCUGAGUUUAAAGCUGUUUCAACAUUCGGUUUGUAUUAAAUUCAUUAUAGUCGCACCACUUCACACCUAACACGCUGCUGCGUUACUCUGACCCGCCCACGCAGAUCCCUCUGCAGACUUUAUAAACUCAAACAAGAAACAGGAAAUAUCUCAUUUUGCAUUAAAACAAAAAUAAUUCAGGGUUCUGCUUAAUUUAUUCUCAAAUUUUAUUUUUCUUAAGAAAAACCAUAAACUCCCACGGUAAAAUCCAGCUUCAUAUUUUUCUUUUUGAUCAUCUGCUGCCCAUCUUUAAUAGUGCUGGACAGCUUUUCAAAAGAAAACUUCUUGC
rnacentral:lncRNA from 1 species